rnacentral:lncRNA from 1 species
AUUCUCUUGAAACUCGCAGCUGUCCGGUGUAGCCGAGGAAUGCCACCGCUCCUGGCAGCCUGGGAGCUGACUUAUCUAGCAGUUCGCGCUCCCUUUCCGAAAAGUUUUCUCAUUAAGAUAAAGAAGGAACAUCUGAGCAACACAAAAGCUUAUGAUUUGCGACUAGAUUUGAAAUCAAGGCUACAAGAAAGACAAAACAUCGUUGUGGAGACCGCUCUUCCGAAUGGAAAGUCAGAGUCGUGCAGAACAUUGGCGCCAUCAGGUCGUGUAUAGAGCAGGAUUUCGUUGAAAGUGGAAUUAAACAUAAAGAUUGCAUAAUUUGAUGUCUAAUCAUCAGCAAGUGGAACAAAACCUGGAUUGAAUAGACGGUGACUCGAUCUCCGUACAGACUGAGGUCCAAAGGUCUGCGCUCACUUCUGGAACUUUCCUUUUGGGCCUUGACCGAACUCCUGUUAUUGUGUGCAGUAGCAGAGGCUGCGCUGCGUGGUUCAGUUUGUGCAAAGGCUAUUUAUUGUUUCUCAUUUACUGACCACUCGGGAGAAGCCUUUAGCAAUAGUUUUUCCCGACACAAACUUGAAUAAAGUCGACCCCUGCAGUUCUUCCUGAGGCUCUACAAGCUUCCUGGAUGCAGGAACCAUGUGCUGUUCUGACGACGCUCCGAAACCUAGUUCAGUGCCUGGCACUAGACAAUAAAAAAUUGCUUUCUGAAUGAAAGUAUAUGCUGGCAGGCGCAGGGGGUUUCAUGUCUUUCUCUGCCUUCUUAAUUCUAGCGCUCCUACGUCUUUGCAUAGGUACCUUCUUGCUCAGUUCCUGCAUCUUUCAAGCCCUUGAAGAGCUAGGUAAGAAAGGGCAUGAAAAUUCUGACAUAAUAAUUAGCAAGUGGCUUGUUAUUUGUCAAACGCCCCACUGAUGUUGUGGCAUAUACAACCUCACUUCUUUAAUUUGCCCAAAGUCAUAUUUUACCAAGCCAGGUCAGAAUUCAAACCCAGACAUCCGACACGGAGGGCUGACUUUUAAUUACUUUGCUAUUUUGUCUUAUAACAGAGGCUUAUAAGCUUAUAACCUCCAAGGGAUCCUCAGGCAUUAUGCUUCAUUUGAGUUCUUCCCUCCUGCGAGUCCUUCAGACCUCAGCGUUUGCAAUUAAAUUGGGAAACCUACUCUGAGUGCCUAAGAGACCAACUGAGUCAGAGCCUCUGUUUAUACAGGAGGCUCUGGGGGCGGGGAGGGGCGGCCAGUAGGAAUGUGUUGGAUAGGAGAAGCCAAGCCUGGGGCAAGCCCCCAUAGACAGACUCUGGACGCGCACUUGGAAAUGCUGUGUGUGAUGGCCAGACAUUGAUGUAGGUUUUGGCUUGCUUCAGGGUAAAAAGAGGACCCAAGAUGGACAGUCAGAAUGGGAGCUGAGGUCAUUUGGAGCCAGGCGCUGCUGCACGCCAUCCUCUCUGGCCUAGAAAGGAGAUACACCUUCGUUUACAGUCCACAAAGAGGAGGAAGAACACGGAGGAGACGCGAGGGCAGUAGAUGGAGUCUUCAUUCUUGAGUACGACAGGUCCCACUCUACAGCGGAUCACAGUAGUGUGCCCUGGGUGCCUUGGUGGCUGGGCCUAGUCUCUCCCCAGUCACAGUCCAUCCAAGCAGAAACAGGCCCUUGUCUAGGAAUUGGCUGGGAUUCCAAAGUCCUGAAAAAGGGCUGGAAGAGACCAUGCAAACUGGAAUGGUUUUACCAGCGCUUGCGAUAUUGAAAUUACUCAGCGCUAAGGGAGAAACCACUAGGUUUCUUAAGACUUGGUGUGUCUUCUUGGCAGACACACCAAGAAGAUUUGCGAACUCAGCUAUAGCUGCUGUAGGCUUAGAAACACGGCAAAAAUUGUUUCAGAAGUGAUUAAUCCCAUUUAUUUCCCUCAAAUACCACCCCCCUUCCUCAGAAGGGCCUCCGACAGGUGUUUAUUAUUAUUACUAUUAAUUUUAAAUGGAGUCUUUAGGUUGUUCCAACUUUCAGUAAUAACACCCUGAUGUGGCUAAGCUCUUUACAGUUUGCAUCAUUAUUGUUUUUGCAUCUCAAAGUUUUGGGAAGAAAUAAAUAGGCGGCAGUUUCUUUUGAAGCUUUUAAUACAUACGAUGCCUUUUUAAGGUUUCUUUCCCCUCCUCUCCUUCAGAAUACUUCUGCCCUGCUUCGGUAGUUUCGGGGUAUUGUGUGUGGGGAGGAACCUCUUGCAUUUAAAAAAAAAAAACCUGGAUUAAUACAUGUAAAUCUGUCUUUUAGAGGUCAGGAUACAGAAAAAAAGCAGGCAGUAAACUAAGCCAGAAUUCCUGCUUCUUUAAACCACCCUUCCUCCCAGGCUGAGACAACUUUUUUCCUAAAAAGACUGUAUUUCUAGAGAUGAAUUUGCAUCCUUUUAUAAGAAGUAACAUGUAUUGUUUAGCUUUGCCCGGCUUUUACAUAUGUUGUCAUAUGUAUUCCUCACAAUCUUCUGUGAAGUAGGUAUUAUUAUGCCUGACUCACAGAUGGGGAACCUGAAGCUCAGAGAGGUGUCCCACAUUCUCACGACAAAUUAGAGACAGAGGCUGAACCUAAACUCAUUACAAGGUCUUAACCAUUGUGCUGCAUGUAAAGAAUAUUUUGCGCCCUUGCAGGUUGGCUGUGUGGCUCCUCCCAGUCUCCUGAAGUAUUAUAAUAGAAGUGAGAAUUCUCUUAGAAGACCUUGAGGAUGGCGGGACUGGGGGCGGGGUAGGAGCGGCGAGUCUUGAGGGACCUGAGUACUGCGCCGGGUCAGUUAGGUGGAAAUGGAGUCAGGCGGAAAUGGAGUUAGGCACGUGUGGAGCCUGGGCCUGGGAUGGGGGCGGGGGUACCGGGGGGUGGUUGGAUGGUCUCCAGGAUGGCAAUCAGCCAGGGGAGCGAGAUGGAUCGCGUGAUGGGCGAACACUUUCUCAUCGCCUGCUGGUCAUAAAUAUUGUUGCUUUUCCUUGGUAACACCCCAACGCCCGAGGCGAGGCGGAGGCCCGCAGGGCGCCACCAUUGGGAGUUGAGGCCCUUUCUCUCUCCCGGAGGCCUGGGCUGGCGCCUGCCUUCGAAAGCGACCUCGAGAGAAACGCCCUGGAGUCAGGCAGGUCCCCACGGCUUUCAGGCCCCAGUUCUCCAGCCCCAGUGCAUGUUGGGAGCAUCCCCACCGCGCGGUGCACUCCGGGAGGCACUGACGCAUUUGGGCGCAGGGCUGGGCGACGAGAGCGGGUGCCCCGGAAACAAGCUCUGUUCAGAAAGCAGGUGGAGGACCUGUGUGAUCCUCUCCCCCGCCCUUCCUCAUCACUAAUCCAAAGUCGGUGUGGGUGGCCGCGGCUCCGAGAGCCUGGACGCCUACCCAAGGCCAGGCCCUGAGACAGGCUCCUCGCCUCGCCCUGGUGGGUUUGACCGCCGCCCUCCUCGCAUCCUUUUCCGUGGGAAACCCCAGGGCAGAGGCUUGGGUUUCACAUGGGUAACAUUCUUCUCCUGGAAUCAGAUCGGUCUUCCAGAGGAUAAGACCUUUCUUUCCUGAGAAGGAGAGCCUGAAGGAGACUCAAGGCCCAAGCCCUCCUUCCCUCAGCCGUAUCUACUGGUAAAUAGGUAGGUAAUUCUUGUCCAACACUUCAGAAGUCCCGCUGUGCACAUUCGAGCACCCCACAGAACGCUGUGAAAAUGAGAGGAAAAACCACAACAGAAGCCAGCAACAAACAACAAGGCCACGGGGGCAAGGCCUAACUAGGUCAGAACAGACAUGUGCCUGAGCUGUCCCGUGAGGUGGACAGGCUCCGGAUGCCCGAGUCGGCAAGAAAGGCUGGAGGGAGCGAUACGGCCGGGUGAGGCCGCUGUCGUUUCGGAGUGGCUUCGCCGCCUGCCUUCCUCGGCGCGGCGUCUAGGCGGGCAGGCAGUAGCCCUGGAGGGGCCAGGCGCUAGGGGCCUUGGGCCUGACCAUCACCCUGGAGGCCUGCGAUUUCAGCCUCUGGGAGGGCUUCCUCGGGGAUUCGAGUUUCUUCUACUUGGCUUUAGUUCCUGUGCCAGCCAUAGCCCUUGGUCCUUAGAACUUUUAAUACUAUGGUGUAAUGCUUGGGCAAAUACAUGUAACUGACCACGCACGAGUAUACAGCCCUUUUAAAAGGUAAAAGGAGUGUGUGUGUGUGUGUGUAUGUGUGUGUGUGUGUGUGUCUACCUACGCGCGCGCCUGUGAGAUUCUUCUGGGCUGAGAAUGUUUUCCCUUCCAAAUGAUGGAUAGAAGGCCUUAGAUCCUCUGAAUUUCUUAGGUUAAAUCAAGGACUUAUUUCCUUUUCCUAUGAUUAGUUUCUUUUAACAUGUAUUAAUAAUUAUAUCAUUAAUUUUGGCCACCCUCAUAGAAGUUUAAUGCCAAUAUAUAAGAGAAUGCAAAAGGGAAAAUAUUUGUAUGCCAAGUUUAGUCUGGAAAAAUAUCAGUAGCAUUUCUUAUUUGACAAAGACAUGCACUUAAAUUUUUUUUUUCCCAGUUGGCAAGGGUAUUGUUUUUAAAUGUAUAUUCCAUGAUUAUUGUUUCUGUUUGGUACUUUGGUCAUUUGGAACACAUCUGUUUCUGAUAUUGUUCCUGUGUUAAGCACACACUGUUGUGUUAGCAAGAUUUUACACCAUCUAAGAAAAUUCUUGCCAGUGCUAUUUGAUGCCCUGUUGAACUUUAGCCAAACUUCAUUUUAUAAUGUUCUCUCAGUCCUGAGCAUAUAUAAUAUAUUUUAAUGAAAUUACGCUUCUGUAUUGACUGGCAGACAUCAGAAACACAUUCACAUAGGUCAAAAGCAGUUGAGCUAAGUGUUGGGUGGGAGGAACUAUUAAAACAGUACAGGAAAAAUAUUUGGAAACAAAACAAAACUUUAAAAUAAAAUAACCCAAAUAAACAAUUCUCUCUCUCUCUCUCUCUCUCACACACACACACACACACACGCACACAGAACUUGGAUGUGGCUAUUGGGAGUUAAUGUAUAAUUCUGAUAAUUUGUGUAUUUCUUCAUUAUAUUAAACUUGGAAUUUAUAUUUUUGACAUUAUUCCAAAGGUGUAAUAAUUGACUUUUAAAAUAGAAUAACAUUGUAAUGGGAUCAUAUUAAGCAUAUAUUAAAUGUAACACAAAUAAGCACUGAGUCUACCUAAAGUGGUAUUUUUUUUUAAUUUUGUGGCUACUCAGGGGUUUUGCAUUAUAUUAUCAAAAGCUAACAACCUUAAGGCCAUUUGUGGUAAUUCAAAAAAUGUUCAAGCAUCUAUGCUUGAUGGCUAAGCUUAUAUCUAACAGUGGAAUAACUGCAAGGCAGGAAUUGGCUUGAAAAAGCAAAUAUUGGCUGUGUAUUUCAAAUAUCUUUUCUAGAAUGGAACACUUUGGUUGAUAGAUUGACCUAUUUUGUUUACAUCCAAUAUGUGUACCCCAGUAUAAAACUUAAAAAAUGGCAAUUUCUCAUGAUAUUUUAGUUAUAAGUCUAGAAAUAUCAACCUUGACAUUUGGUUUAAUAAGCUUCUGCCACUUAUUCCUAGAUCAGUAUUUUUCAAUUGACAAAUAAGUUUUCUUUGCGAUCUACCAAAACCAGGUUGUCACAUUCUUUUAGUUGUUACCUGGACAGACUGCUUUUAUUGCUCAUUAAUCAGAUGCUGUGGUUAAGGUGUGUCUAUUAAAUAACUACUUAGGGAUGUAUCGUCAUUCUGUUUGUUUAUUUAAGAAAACAAAUUUUUGUUUUGGUGUAAUUUCUAAAUAAAAUAUAUUCAUGGUAAUGUGGAUAAUUGACAUUAUUUAUACAAAUCAUUUGGAAUUGAGUACCUUGUUAACUGUGUAAUAAGUAUGGUUAUAAAAAGAGAAUGAGUAUCAUAACAUUUUUGCCUAUAUACACUUUUAAAUAUUUAUCAGGAUCUACAUUUUUCUUAAACUGUUAAUUUGGAUGUGUUGAAAUGUAGCCUAUAAAUUUCUUUUUAAGUAAUUGUUACUAAAAAACCUUAUGGAUCUUCACAUGUCUGGUUCCAAUUAAUCUGCUUAGACUAAUGGAUAAAAUAAUAAACCUGAUUUAGUCAAUCUGGACUUCUAUAUGAGUUUUCUAUGUGCCUCUUUAAGGUCUAAUGCCUUCUCCUACACAUAUUUAGUUCUUAGUUAUACUCUUAUAAAACGUGGGAUUGGAAGAAUAAUUAAUUUGAUUCAUUUUCUUAAAAAAAUUUUGCAGUUACAUCAGUACAAAAAGGCAUCUUCAAAUGAGUGUCAAUGAUUAUCAAAAGAAAACUAUAUACAUCUUUGUGAAUUUAAUUAAUCAAGUAUGUAUUGAGCACCUACUAUGUACCAGGAACUGGGGAUACAAAGAAUAAGACAUGGGUGGUCCUUGUUCUCAGAAAAUUCUCAAUCUUUUAAGGAGACUGACAAAAAUACAACUAGCUCAUCCCUGUAAUUCUUUAAUGAUUUUUAUCUACCCCCUGGACUUUGAAUUAGUAAAGUAUCAGAUGAUCCCAAUACUUUGUGUAUGUUUUAAAAAUCUUAAAGGCAU